CAGCCGCCGCGGGAAUACGUAGGCGGCAAGCGUUGUCCGGAAUUAUUGGGCGUAAAGGGAGCGCAGGUGGGACGGUAAGUCCGUCUUAAAAGGCAGGGGCUCAGCCCCUGUAAGGGAUGGAAACUAUCGAUCUUGAGUGCCGGAGAGGAAAGCGGAAUUCCCAGUGUAGCGGUGAAAUGCGUAGGUAUUGGGAAGAACACCAGUGGCGAAGGCGGCUUUCUGGACGGCAACUGACACUGAGGCUCGAAAGCCAGGGGAGCGAACGGGAUUAGAUACCCCAGUAGUCCCUGUCUCUUAUACC
rnacentral:rRNA from 1 species